rnacentral:rRNA from 1 species
GUCCAGACUCCUACGGGAGGCAGCAGUGGGGAAUAUUGCACAAUGGGGGAAACCCUGAUGCAGCGACGCCGCGUGAGCGAUGAAGUAUUUCGGUAUGUAAGGCUCUAUCAGCAGGGAAGAAAAUGACGGUACCUGACUAAGAAGCCCCGGCUAACUACGUACCAGCAGCCGCGGUAAUACGUAGGGGGCAAGCGUUAUCCGGAUUUACUGGGUGUAAAGGGAGCGUAGACGGCAAUGCAAGCCAGAUGUGAAAGCCCGGGGCUCAACCCCGGGACUGCAUUUGGAACUGUGUGGCUGGAGUGUCGGAGAGGCAGGCGGAAUUCCUAGUGUAGCGGUGAAAUGCGUAGAUAUUAGGAGGAACACCAGUGGCGAAGGCGGCCUGCUGGACGAUGACUGACGUUGAGGCUCGAAAGCGUGGGGAGCAAACAGGAUUAGAUACCCGCGUA